rnacentral:lncRNA from 1 species
AGCUGGUACAGUUCACCAUCCCAGCAUACUUGAUAGUGCAAAUGACAUACGACUAUCACAACGUAAAGUUUUUUUACCAGUACUAAAUACUGCCCAUCGGCUUAAGGCCAACUUAUAAAGAUAAGUUUCAUGGUGGAUUAGAGACCACUCGGUAAUUCAAAAUCCAGAAGAAAAAAACACAUAUAACAGGUAGCCGGCAAAGCAAAUAAUAAAGCUGAAAUAUCCCCUUAUAUUUCUUCGAGUGAAGUCUCGCCUUUAAUCAUCCAUCCAUAUGUAGUCAUAAACAAUUGAUAAAAGGAGCAGUAUGCUUAGGGAAAAUAUUUUUUCUGUGCACAACACUCUAAUAAACACAGUACAGGUUGAUUAAAAAUUAGGCAUCUAUAUAAAGUUCUUGUUUGGUUCUACCCGAAUGCUGCUAAAUGUGAUGGUGGAGUUGCUGCUUGUGAAGAUGCCUUUUCACUCAUCGACUUUACCCACUCACUCCUUCAGCUCCUAAUCCUGCCGGUUUGAGCCACUACUUUGCCUAAUAUUCUCCUACCAAAAGGAACAACAUAUUCACGCAUCCGUUCAGUCAGUUAUGAAAAUUAUGAUAAGCAGGAGAGGCUCGACUAUGAAUCAAUCGAUCCAUGCCCCCUUACCGAGGUGGAACUCAUGGUGAUAUGAGAGACUCAUCAUCAUCAAUGUCUCCGCACAGCCACAAUGAGGCAGGUUCAUACAUC